rnacentral:rRNA from 1 species
GGCUCAGAAUGAACGCUGGCGGCGUGCCUAACACAUGCAAGUCGCACGAGAAAGGGGGCUUCGGUCCCCGAGUAAAGUGGCGCACGGGUGAGUAACGCGUAGGUAACCUACCCCCGGGUUCGGGAUAACAGUGCGAAAGCGCUGCUAAUACCGGAUACGACCUUGGAGCGGGAGCUCCAAGUUGAAAGUCAGCCUCUCGAAGAAGCUGAUGUUCGGGGAUGGGCCUGCGUCCUAUCAGCUAGUUGGUAGGGUAACGGCCUACCAAGGCGACGACGGGUAGCUGGUCUGAGAGGAUGAUCAGCCACACUGGCACUGGAACACGGGCCAGACUCCUACGGGAGGCAGCAGUGAGGAAUUUUGCGCAAUGGGAGCAAUCCUGACGCAGCAACGCCGCGUGGGUGAAGAAGGCCUUCGGGUCGUAAAGCCCUGUCAGGUGGGAAGAAUAGCCUAGGGAUGAAUAAGCCUUGGGUGUGACGGUACCACCAGAGGAAGCACCGGCUAACUCCGUGCCAGCAGCCGCGGUAA